UUUUAUAAAGGAAAACACUUUAAAAAGGAAAUGAAUGGACAAUAAUACAUGUCCUUUGCUGGCUGGAAUGAUGGAUGGGCUCCAAGAAGAAAUAACCAAUGUCCACAAUAGGCUGGUGAUAAUAAUCAAGUGUGUUCAGCAUAAACUGACCAUGAUCAAAAGAAGUGUCCCAAAAAUCAGUCAUCGUAAACACAGCUCACUACACACCAUAAAUCUAAAAGCUGAAUACAGGACCUUCUCCAAUUUCUUGAAGAUAAUACACUAUGUCAAAAGCGUACUUCAUUAAAUCUAGAACUUAUUUUUGGAAAGGUAGCAUGUCUUUAAAAAUCUGUUUCUAUUUUGAAGAUGUAAGCUGAAAAACUGCAAGAUGGAUAAUGAUAGCAUUCAGGAAACACUCCAGGGAGUAGAAAAAGACAUGUUGGUAAUACUGCCUCAUUCCUACUCCUGGCCUUAAAUUACAUUUUGAACAAUUUAUUGAAAGCUUAUUGCUGAGAUUUUCUUUAGUCCUCUGCAUGUUUAUCAUCUUUUAAACAUUCUCUUUUAACAUUUUAAAGAGAAA
rnacentral:lncRNA from 12 species